AGUGAACGCUGGCGGUAGACCUAACACAUGCAAGUCGAACGGCAGCACAGUAAGAGCUUGCUCUUACGGGUGGCGAGUGGCGGACGGGUGAGGAAUACAUCGGAAUCUACUUUUUCGUGGGGGAUAACGUAGGGAAACUUACGCUAAUACCGCAUACGACCUACGGGUGAAAGCAGGGGAUCUUCGGACCUUGCGCGAUUGAAUGAGCCGAUGUCGGAUUAGCUAGUUGGCGGGGUAAAGGCCCACCAAGGCGACGAUCCGUAACUGGUCUGAGAGGAUGAUCAGCCACACUGGAACUGAGACACGGUCCAGACUCCUACGGGAGGCAGCAGUGGGGAAUAUUGGACAAUGGGCGCAAGCCUGAUCCAGCCAUACCGCGUGGGUGAAGAAGGCCUUCGGGUUGUAAAGCCCUUUUGUUGGGAAAGAAAAGCAGCAGGUUAAUACCCCGCUGUUCUGACGGUACCCAAAGAAUAAGCACCGGCUAACUUCGU
rnacentral:rRNA from 1 species